rnacentral:rRNA from 1 species
UGGGAGAGUUUGAUCCUGGCUCAGGACGAACGCUGGCGGCGUGCUUAACACAUGCAAGUCGAACGGAAAGGCCCUGCUUGCAGGGUACUCGAGUGGCGAACGGGUGAGUAACACGUGGGUGAUCUGCCCUGCACUUCGGGAUAAGCCUGGGAAACUGGGUCUAAUACCGGAUAGGAGCCAUUUUUAGUGUGAUGGUUGGAAAGUUUUUUCGGUGUAGGAUGAGCUCGCGGCCUAUCAGCUUGUUGGUGGGGUAAUGGCCUACCAAGGCGGCGACGGGUAGCCGGCCUGAGAGGGUGGACGGCCACAUUGGGACUGAGAUACGGCCCAGACUCCUACGGGAGGCAGCAGUGGGGAAUAUUGCACAAGUGGCGCAAGCCUGAUGCAGCGACGCCGCGUGGGGGAU